rnacentral:rRNA from 1 species
AUUGAACGCUGGCGGCAGGCCUAACACAUGCAAGUCGAACGAGUCGCGGACGGGUGAGUAAUGUCUGGGAAAUUGCCUGAUGGAGGGGGAUAACUACUGGAAACGGUAGCUAAUACCGCCUACCAUCAGCUUGGCCCAGAUGGGUGUAUGUUGUGGGUGGGGUAACGGCUCACAAAGGACACGAUCCCUAGCUGGUCUGAGAGGAUGACCAGCCAUACUGGAACUGAGAAACGGUCCAGACUCCUACGGGAGGAAGCAGUGGGGAAUAUUGCACAAUGGGCGCAAGCCUGAUGCAGCCAUGCCGCGUGUAUGAAGAAGGCCUUCGGGUUGUAAAGUACUUUCAGCGGGGAGGCGUUACCCGCAGAAGAAGCACCGGCUAACUCCGUGCCAGCAGCCGCGGUAAUAC